CGCAAGUUCCUACCUGCGAAGUUCAUCUCAUAAUUGCGAAUCACUUGAAAUCACAUGCUAGCCUUGAAGAAAUCGCACGGCCAGCGUUAUAAAGCAUGCGGGAAAUCGUUGGAAGUCCUGCGUGAAAUUCGACGUACCUGUAAGACCCCAGGACUUUGGGCACUCGGAUAUGAUACGGAAGCACUUGGGCUCGGUGUGUGUCGAAAGGUCGUCGAAGCCGUCGACGUGUUGGCACUGGGAGGUUGAACAACCGGACUGGAGCUUCGACACGGCAAAGGUGUGAGUGGUAAAAGCGGCCCGUUGUACGAGGAUUGCGUUUGACUAUGGGCAGGGAACUGCGCUCUCGGA
rnacentral:lncRNA from 1 species